GACCUCGGAUCAGGUAGGGAUACCCGCUGAACUUAAGCAUAUCAAUAAGCGGAGGAAAAGAAACCAACAGGGAUUGCCUCAGUAACGGCGAGUGAAGCGGCAACAGCUCAAAUUUGAAAUCUGGCCUUCGGGUCCGAGUUGUAAUUUGCAGAGGAUGCUUCGAGCAUGGUCUAGUCUAAGUUCCUUGGAAUAGGACGUCAUAGAGGGUGAGAAUCCCGUAUGCGACUGGGUGCCUAAGCUCAUGUGAAGCUCCUUCGACGAGUCGAGUUGUUUGGGAAUGCAGCUCAAAAUGGGUGGUAAAUUUCAUCUAAAGCUAAAUAUUGGCCAGAGACCGAUAGCGCACAAGUAGAGUGAUCGAAAGAUGAAAAGCACUUUGGAAAGAGAGUUAAAUAGCGCGUGAAAUUGUUGAAAGGGAAGCGCUUGCAAUCAG
rnacentral:rRNA from 1 species